rnacentral:rRNA from 1 species
UACGAAGGGGGCUAGCGUUGCUCGGAAUCACUGGGCGUAAAGCGCACGUAGGCGGGUUCUUAAGUCUGGGGUGAAAUCCUGGAGCUCAACUCCAGAACUGCCUUUGAUACUGGGAAUCUCGAGUCCGGGAGAGGUGAGUGGAACUGCGAGUGUAGAGGUGAAAUUCGUAGAUAUUCGCAAGAACACCAGUGGCGAAGGCGGCUCACUGGCCCGGUACUGACGCUGAGGUGCGAAAGCGUGGGGAGCAAACAGG